UCUCCGUAGGUGAACCUGCGGAAGGAUCAUUCAUAAUAAGUGUUUUAUGGCACUUUUUUAAAUCCAUAUCCACCUUGUGUGCAAUGUCAGGGUUGAUUUUUCUCUCGAGAGGAUCAACCCCAAACAUCAACUAUAUCUCAACUCUUUGUCUGAAAAAUAUUAUGAAUAAAACAAUUCAAAAUACAACUUUCAACAACGGAUCUCUUGGCUCUC
rnacentral:misc_RNA from 1 species